AGCAGCCGCCGCGGGAAUACGUAGGGUGCAAGCGUUAAUCGGAAUUACUGGGCGUAAAGCGUGCGCAGGCGGUUCGCUAAGACAGAUGUGAAAUCCCCGGGCUUAACCUGGGAACUGCAUUUGUGACUGGCGGGCUAGAGUGUGGCAGAGGGGGGUAGAAUUCCACGUGUAGCAGUGAAAUGCGUAGAGAUGUGGAGGAAUACCGAUGGCGAAGGCAGCCCCCUGGGCCAAUACUGACGCUCAUGCACGAAAGCGUGGGGAGCAAACAGGAUUAGAUACCCGUGUAGUCCCUGUCUCUUAUAA
rnacentral:rRNA from 1 species